CCUGCCAGCAGUCAUAUGCUUGUCUUUAAGAUUAAGCCAUGCAAGUCUAAGGAUAAAUAUUUUAUUCGUGAACCUGCAAAUAGCUCAUUAAAUCAGUUAUAAUCUACUCGAUCAUAUCCUUACUUGGAUAACCGUAGUAAUUCUAGGGCUAAUACAUGCAAAAAUCCUAGACUGGGGAGACUCGGAAUAGGAGUACGUAUUGGAAUCUAAAACCAAUACAAGGUAUCUAAACUGUAGUUUAUUUCACGAUUUGCUACGGGCUUUGUUUUGUUUGAUGACACACGAUAAAUUUACAAAUCACGAAUAUCUUUUCGUGAUGAUUUGAACGAGUUUCUGCCCUAUCAACUUUCGAUGGUAAGGUAUUUGCUUACCAUGGUUUUGACGGGUACGGGGAAUUUGGGUUUGAUUCCGGAGAAAAGGCCUGAGAGACGGCCAUUACUUCCAAGGAAGGCAGCAGGCGCGUAAUUUGCCCAAUGUCAAUUCGACGAGGCAGUGACGAGAAAUACCGAUAUUGGUUCCUACGGAAACAAUUAUUGGAAUGAGAACAAUUUAAACACAUUAGCGACUAACUAUUGGAGGGCAAGUCUGGUGCCAGCAGCCGCGGUAAUUCCAGCUCCAAGAGCGUAUAUUAAAAUUGUUGUGGUUAAAAAGCUCGUAGUUGUAUUUCGGAAAAUGGAUGUGAAUUACUAGGAUUCUAGUGGUUUCAUCUUUUUCUAUCUUUUUGUAUGGUUGAAAGACUGUGCAAAUAGUUUACUUUGAAAAAAUUAGAGUGUUCAAAGCAGGCUUUAUGCCAAUUGAAUAUUUUAGCAUGGGAUAAUGAAAUAAGACUUUAGCCUUAUUUUGUUGGUUUAUUUGGCUAUUGUAAUGAUUGAUAGGGACAGUUGGGGUCACUUGUAUUGGGCCGGGAGGGGUGAAAUCUUAUGAUCGGCUCAGGACAAACUACAGCGAAAGCAUUUGACAAGGAUGUUUUCAUUAAUCAAGAACGAGAGUUGAGGGAUCGAAGAUGAUCAGAUACCGUCGUAGUCUCAACUGUAAACGAUGUCGACUCAGGAUUGGGAGAUAUUACAUGGAUGAUUCUUCCAGCACUGAAUGAGAAAUCAAAGUAUCUAGACUCCAGGGGGAGUAUGGUCGCAAGGCUGAAACUUAAAGGAAUUGACGGAAGGCCACCACCAGGAGUGGAGCCUGCGGCUUAAUU
rnacentral:rRNA from 1 species